GCCGGAGUAGCUCAGGGGUAGAGCGGGGCUUUCGUAAAGCCAAGGUCGGGAGUUCGAAUCUCCCCUCCGGCU
rnacentral:tRNA from 1 species